CAGCCCUUGACAUCCUACGACCGCUGCAGAGAUGCAGUUUCCACUUCGGUGGCGUAGAGACAGGUGCUGCAUGGCUGUCGUCAGCUCGUGUCGUGAGGUGUUGGGUUAAGUCCCGCAACGAGCGCAACCCUCGCCCUUAGUUGCCAGCAUUCAGUUGGGCACUCUAAGGGGACUGCCGGUGAUAAGCCGAGAGGAAGGUGGGGAUGACGUCAAGUCCUCAUGGCCCUUACGGGCUGGGCUACACACGUGCUACAAUGGUGGUGACAGUGGGCAGCGAAGGAGCGAUCCCGAGCUAAUCUCCAAAAGCCAUCUCAGUUCGGAUUGCACUCUGCAACUCGAGUGCAUGAAGUUGGAAUCGCUAGUAAUCGCGGAUCAGCACGCCGCGGUGAAUACGUUCCC
rnacentral:rRNA from 1 species